UUUCCCAACACGAUGCUCUCCCCAAGACACUUCUCUCUUCAGGGUUUCUAAACUCAGUUUUGUGAGUCUUAUUCCACAUUCCAUGCUGGUCUAAACUAUGACCUAUGUUCCUUUACUGAAAGUAGGAGGCUAUUAUAUUCUGCAGAGGAAAAACCAAUAAACUGUAAGAGUUAACAAGAAAAUUAAUACUCAAAUGACCUUGAAUCUUAUAAAUGUCUUUUUAAAUAAAAGAAGUAGUUUUCUCCUAGGUCUCUACAAUUUCACUCCGGUAUAGGUUUUUACAGUCAACUUAUAAAGCUGCUAAAAUAGAAUUUACCAAGAAAGCAACAGAACACAAACUCAAUUAAGAAACACGGUCAUCUCCCUCAGUAUGUAAAGCAAGUGCAUCAAAAGGCAACUCUCCAGCAAGAUGCAGGAGCAAGGUCAUAUCUUUCGAAGGCUAAAUGAAGAUAAAUUUCAAAAGCUCUCUCCUUAACACCUUGCUGAAGAAAAUUGCAUUUCUUUCUACUCUAUUUGCUAAAGUUGCUGUGCUUCCUGCCUUUAAUGACCAACCUCUUUGACCAGGCUCUGCAGAAAUCUCAUAAAGAUGGACUUCAAUUACAAGCACAGCACAGCGCCACGGCUGCAUAG